GAAUCCACUCAUUUCUCUAGAACAAUGCAUCUUAGGCCUAAAUUCACUAUGCCAAACCACCUCAAUCACAAUCCCUCAAAUUUUGCUCAAUGAGCAGCACUGCUAUCUCCACCUUCCAAUAAAUGCAAUUGUUUUCUAACAAGUACAUUCUUGCAUUUCCAAGCAUCCACCUUAGCAAUCUCAUUUCAACUUCAACACUGCUUGCAAGCAAAAAAUGCAACCAUAAUCUGUUGAUUUAGUCCUUUAUCUUUCAUGGAAUGUCACUAAUCUAAUAUUUUU
rnacentral:misc_RNA from 1 species